rnacentral:rRNA from 1 species
UACGAAGGGUGCAAGCGUUACUCAGAAUUACUGGGCGUAAAGCGUGCGUAGGUGGUUUUUUAAGUCCGUUGUGAAAGCCCUGGGCUCAACCUGGGAAUGGCAGUGGAUACUGGAAAGCUAGAGUGCGGUAGAGGGUAGUGGAAUUCCCGGUGUAGCAGUGAAAUGCGUAGAGAUCGUAAGGAAGACCAGUGGCGAAGGCGAGUCCCUGGACAACUCCUGACACUGAGGCACGAAAGCUAGGGGAGCAAACAGG